AUUGAACGCUGGCGGCAUGCCUUACACAUGCAAGUCGAACGGUAACGCGGGGCAACCUGGCGACGAGUGGCGAACGGGUGAGUAAAGCAUCGGAACGUGCCCAGUAGUGGGGGAUAGCCCGGCGAAAGCCGGAUUAAUACCGCAUACGACCUACGGGUGAAAGGGGGGAGUCGCAAGACCUCUCGCUAUUGGAGCGGCCGAUGUCAGAUUAGGUAGUUGGUGGGGUAAAGGCCUACCAAGCCGACGAUCUGUAGCUGGUCUGAGAGGAUGAUCAGUCACACUGGAACUGAGACACGGUCCAGACUCCUACGGGAGGCAGCAGUGGGGAAUAUUGGACAAUGGGCGCAAGCCUGAUCCAGCCAUGCCGCGUGUGUGAAGAAGGCCCUUGGGUUGUAAAGCACUUUCAGUGGGGAGAAAGGUACUGGAACCUAAUACGUUUUGGUAAUUGAUGUUACCCACAGAAGAAGCACCGGCUAACUCCGUGCCAGCAGCCGCGGUAA
rnacentral:rRNA from 1 species